rnacentral:rRNA from 1 species
CCUACGGGAGGCAGCAGUAGGGAAUCUUCGGCAAUGGGGGCAACCCUGACCGAGCAACGCCGCGUGAGUGAAGAAGGUUUUCGGAUCGUAAAGCUCUGUUGUAAGUCAAGAACGAGUGUGAGAGUGGAAAGUUCACACUGUGACGGUAGCUUACCAGAAAGGGACGGCUAACUACGUGCC